CCGGUAGCUCAGCUGGUAGAGCAACGGACUGAAAAUCCGUGUGUCGCCGGUUCAACCCCGGCUUGGGC
rnacentral:tRNA from 1 species